rnacentral:rRNA from 1 species
AUGUCAGGGUACUCUUCUCGGUUAACAACAUUAGAUUACACCGUCUGUGUUCAGAGCGAAGUGUUUGUGAUGACUCAAGGGGGGAACUUCCCUCACUUUUUGAUGGGACACAGGCGUUACCUGUUAGGAGGGAAUGCAAAGACAAUAAAACCCAACAAACGGAAGCUGGUCUUAUCUUUUGACGACCCAAAUAUCAGAUGGAGUCGAUUCAAGCACCACAUGCUGGAAAUACUGCACCAUAGUGACAUAAGGGGCAUCACAUUCAGCAAACCUAAUGAUUCCAUAUACACCUUCCCAAUGCCUGAUUGCAUGUGCCAGCAAGAUGGAAUAUGA